GAAAAGGGAGCCGCCAUCCGCAGCCAGGAGCGGCGAGUCCUCCAGUCCAUCACCGAGGUCAGCGACAUCGACGCAGUCCUCCAGCAGGCUGAGGAGACCGGCCGCCUCUAUGCCGUCGGCAACCCCGCCCCCAAACUCAUCAAUCUGGAUGAUGAAUCGGAGGCGGGCGACCUGACGGUGGAGGAGAGGAGAGUGUUGCAGAAG
rnacentral:misc_RNA from 1 species